ensembl:lncRNA
AAAUCACUGCAGAUGGUGACUGCAGCCAUGAAAUUAAAAGACGCUUACUCCUUGGAAGGAAAGUUAUGACCAACCUAGAUAACAUAUUGAAAAGCAGAGAUAUUACCUUGCCAACAAAGUCUGUCUAGUCAAGGCUAUGGUUUUUCCAGUGGUCAUGUAUGGCUGUGAGAGUUGGACUGUGAAGAAAGCUGAGUGCUGAAGAAUUGAUGCUUUUGAACUGUGGUGUUGGAGAAGACUCUUGAGAGUCCCUUGGACUGCAAAGAGAUCCAACCAGUCCAUCCUAAAGGAGAUCAGUCCUGGAUGUUCAUUGGAAGGACUGGUGCUGAAGCUGAAACUCCAAUACUUUGGCCACCUUAUGCGAGGAGUUGACUCAUUGGAAAAGACCCUGAUGCUGGGAGGGAUUGGUGCAGGAGAAGGGGACGACAGAGGAUGAGAUGGCUGGAUGGCAUCACUGACUCAAUGGACAUGAGUUUGGGUGGACUCUGGGAGUUGGUGAUGGACAGGGAGGCCUGUCGUGCUGUGAUUCAUGGGGUCGCAAAGAGCUGGACACUACUGAGCCACUGAACUGAAAUGAACUGAACUGAAACAAAGCACUGGCAAAAAGAGAGGGAAAAGGUAGAAGUAGUGACAGAAUUCUUGGGUUCUAAAAUCACUUGCAGACAGUGACUGCAGCAAUGAAAUAUGAAGACAUUUGCUUCUUGGCAGGAAAGCUAUGAGGAAACCUAGACAGAGUGUUGAAAAGCAGAGACAUUGCUGACAAAGGCCCACAUAGUCAAGGGCCUUGAUCUUGAUCAUAGCCUUAGUCAAGUCUAUGGUCUUCCCAGUGGUCACGUACAGUUGUGAGAGCUGGACAAUAAAGAAGGUGCAACACCAAAGAAUUGAUGCUUUCAAACUGUGAUGCUGGAGAAGACUCCUGAGAGUCCCUUGGAUUGCAAGGCAUUCAAACCAGUCAAUCUUAAGGGAAAUCAACCCUGAAUACUCGUUGGAAGGACUGAUGCUGAAGCUGAAAUUCCAGUAUUUUGGUCAUCUGAUGCGGACAGUUGACUCAUUGGAAAAGUCACUGAUGCUGGGAAAGAUUGAUGGCAGAAGGAGAAGAAGCGUCAGAGGACGAGUUGGCUGGAUGGAAUCACCAGUGCAACAGACAUGAGGUUGGGCAAACUUCAGGAGAUGGUGAGGGAUGGAGAGGCCUGUCAUGCUUCAGUCCAUGUGGUCGCAAAGAGUUGGACACGACUGGGUGACUGAACAACAACAACAACAAACAAAGCACUAAUAGUUCGAGAUGAGGCAAUGAAGAAAGGAAGACGACCUCAACGGAGACAGGUUACCUUUAUUCAGGCAAGGAGGGGCGACAGUCGCUCUAAUGACCAGGCUGAGCGUGUGGGAUCAGGGAGGCUUCAUAUUUAAGGGGAUUUUUGUUUUCCCUGAAGUCAGGUGGUCCAGCAUGGGCCUUUGAAGUGGUUAUCUCCUUUUUCCAGGCCUGAGGACUCCUUCAUUCCAGAUCCUGAAAUCAUAAAAAGAUGGGGGGAAAGGGCACCGUAUCUCUCUGGCUACUUCCUGCUGGGUAGGGGUGAUGGCUCUGGGUCUGGAAUGGAGGCCUGUCCUAGGGCCCAAGGUCUCCUUUUCCCGAGGUUGAGGUGAGGCUCUUGAGAAGGAGGAUGGUCUUGACUUGGACUUGAGAGAUGGCCCAAAUCCGGUCUUGGAGAAACCUUUGAAAGAUAUUGAAGAGACAGGGUCCAAAUAAGAGGAAUAAAACAAUAAGUACCAGUGGUCCAGAGAAAGGGAGCAACCAAGGGAGGGCCAGUUUGGAGUAAGCUUUGG